GAGUUUAAUCAAGCUAUUGAAGCCUUACUUAGCAUCCACGAGCAAGAAGACUCUUUGUACCCAAGCUUUAAGGCCACGGUCCAAGAAAGAAGCCUGGAGGAGCCUAAUAAAGAAGAAGCUUACCUGAUACAAGACGGCCCAACAACUGAAUUGCCACUUCUCCGACCCAACAAAGAAGUGUCCUUGUUCAGCAUCAGCAUCA
rnacentral:lncRNA from 1 species